rnacentral:rRNA from 1 species
UGCAGUCGACGGUGAACACGGAGCUUGCUCUGUGGGAUCAGUGGCGAACGGGUGAGUAACACGUGAGCAACCUGCCCCUGACUCUGGGAUAAGCGCUGGAAACGGCGUCUAAUACUGGAUAUGUGACGUGAUCGCAUGGUCUGCGUCUGGAAAGAAUUUCGGUUGGGGAUGGGCUCGCGGCCUAUCAGCUUGUUGGUGAGGUAAUGGCUCACCAAGGCGUCGACGGGUAGCCGGCCUGAGAGGGUGACCGGCCACACUGGGACUGAGACACGGCCCAGACUCCUACGGGAGGCAGCAGUGGGGAAUAUUGCACAAUGGGCGCAAGCCUGAUGCAGCAACGCCGCGUGAGGGACGACGGCCUUCGGGUUGUAAACCUCUUUUAGCAGGGAAGAAGCGAAAGUGACGGUACCUGCAGAAAAAGCGCCGGCUAACUACGUGCCAGCAGCCGCGGUAAUACGUAGGGCGCAAGCGUUAUCCGGAAUUAUUGGGCGUAAAGAGCUCGUAGGCGGUUUGUCGCGUCUGCUGUGAAAUCCGGAGGCUCAACCUCCGGCCUGCAGUGGGUACGGGCAGACUAGAGUGCGGUAGGGGAGAUUGGAAUUCCUGGUGUAGCGGUGGAAUGCGCAGAUAUCAGGAGGAACACCGAUGGCGAAGGCAGAUCUCUGGGCCGUAACUGACGCUGAGGAGCGAAAGGGUGGGGAGCAAACAGGCUUAGAUACCCUGGUAGUCCACCCCGUAAACGUUGGGAACUAGUUGUGGGGUCCAUUCCACGGAUUCCGUGACGCAGCUAACGCAUUAAGUUCCCCGCCUGGGGAGUACGGCCGCAAGGCUAAAACUCAAAGGAAUUGACGGGGACCCGCACAAGCGGCGGAGCAUGCGGAUUAAUUCGAUGCAACGCGAAGAACCUUACCAAGGCUUGACAUAUACGAGAACGGGCCAGAAAUGGUCAACUCUUUGGACACUCGUAAACAGGUGGUGCAUGGUUGUCGUCAGCUCGUGUCGUGAGAUGUUGGGUUAAGUCCCGCAACGAGCGCAACCCUCGUUCUAUGUUGCCAGCACGUAAUGGUGGGAACUCAUGGGAUACUGCCGGGGUCAACUC